rnacentral:rRNA from 1 species
CCUACGGGUGGCAGCAGUGAGGAAUAUUGGUCAAUGGACGAGAGUCUGAACCAGCCAAGUAGCGUGAAGGAUGACUGCCCUAUGGGUUGUAAACUUCUUUUAUAAAGGAAUAAAACGAGGCACGUGUGCCUUUUUGCAUGUACUUUAUGAAUAAGGAUCGGCUAACUCCGUGCCAGCAGCCGCGGUAAUACGGUGGGUCCGAGCGUUAUCCGGAUUUAUUGGGUUUAAAGGGAGCGUAGAUGGGUUGUUAAGUCAGUUGUGAAAGUUUGCGGCUCAACCGUAAAAUUGCAAUUGAUACUGGCAGUCUAGAGUACAGUUGAGGUAGGCGGAAUGCGUGGUGUAGCGGUGAAAUGCUUAGAUAUCACGAAGAACCCCGAUUGCGAAGGCAGCUGACUAAACUGUGACUGACAUUGAUGCUCGAAAGUGUGGGUAUCAAACAGGAUUAGAUACCCGGGUAGUC